rnacentral:rRNA from 1 species
UACGUAGGUGGCGAGCGUUGUCCGGAUUUACUGGGCGUAAAGGGCGUGCAGGCGGUUUGUUAAGUGCAGGGUGAAAGCUCCCGGCUCAACUGGGAGAGGUCCUUGCAUACUGGCGAACUCGAGGGAGGCAGAGGAAAGUGGAAUUCCCGGUGUAGUGGUGAUAUGCGUAGAUAUCGGGAGGAACACCUGUGGCGAAGGCGGCUUUCUGGGCCUUACCUGACGCUGAGACGCGAAAGCGUGGGGAGCAAACAGG